CUACUAUAUUAGAAACGACAGUUUUAGGACGAACACAUGCUACAAGCUAUUGUACAAAAAGCAACAUGAGUUGCACUCUGUCCCAAAACCACGUGGACUGCAAUGUAUAUACCCGGAUUUCACAGCCUAUUCACAAGUUCAGACUUCAGAGUAUAUCAACUUUGUGCUGCGCUUACUCUCUUCUUCACUUUUUCCAGUUUGCCCUCUAUCUUUUACUGCUCUGCUCCUUUCGGUAAAUUUUGUUUAAUUUUUGUUCCUCCUCUUGCUUGAUGUAUUAGAAAAUGCUGCAUACACAUCAUCUGGUUUUUUUUUUCCCUUCAAAUUUCUCAACUGGAUCUCCAAGUUGUGUAUGCUUUAGUUUGUUCAAUUCUGGAAAUGAUUUGAGUUGUAAGGAGAUAGGUGCAAGUGUCGGUCCUGUACAAUAUGGAAAAGUUGCUACCCUCUUGCAUAUAGCAAUUUUACUUGGUUGCUCCUAACAAUGGAUGGAGUCUAGAUCUUGAGCUCUAGAUCACUUAGCAACCUAUCUUAGCACCUUUCUUCCGUUGCAUGUCAUGGUGAAAGUUUAGAGUUAUAUUUGCUCUUUUGAAUCAUGGUAACAUUGAGGGAGUUGAAAUGGAGUCUAUAAAGGUAUAAGAAUAAGCCGGCCAGCUACAAUGCCGGUCCAUUUAACUUGCUAAUUUUUUGCGUAUUCAAAUCGGGGAUUCUAAUAGGGAGUACCGAGAAUUCAAGCCCACUGCCCUUCAUUACCUACUAUGAGAAGAUUGGCAAAAUUGCCAAGGAUGAGACAGUCUUCUUAACAACUAUUCUGCUUCACAAUUGGAGUGGUAGAGUACACUUUUCCGUCAGGACAACAUACGUUCUCAAGUACUGUUAUGUGAAUACGAAAUGGAUUCUGCAUCAUUUAGGCCCUGAGCAAGUAUUUUUUGUUGCUUCCUGGUUUGAUUUCUCUCCCAACCACAUUCUAUUUGCUCAUGUUAUGGUACAAAUAUGUAUUCUAGGACAAUUCUUUGUGACUUGAGCUAACUAUUUUCAAUUUUUACGUGUUAUAUAUGACAUUCUCUAUCCAGUUUCUUUUGGUUAUUAAGCUUGACCUUUGUAAAGCUCUCACUUCUUGAAAUCUGUCUUUUGUAUUUCCAAGCUUGCCUUAACUGUUAGUCAAUCUCAUGACUGGACUUUGUAUAAUCCACUCGAGUGAGUAUCAAAUGUCAGUAAUAUGAUCCUUUGUAGUCGUUCUUUGUAUUAUCAAAGUGCCUUUCUGGAUGAAAUGCCAUAAGAGACAGAUACAUUGAGGGGAAAAGAUAGGAGAGAGCAGUUCUUGGAGUUUUUGCCAUGUUAUUGAAUCCAAAUAGUGUACAAAAGUGGUCUCGGAUAUCCAACUCUCUACAUUAGGUGGUUAUCACAUUCUAAUGGCUGAAGCUCCCAUUAUGCAUCAGAAGAAACAACAACAACUAAGGAAUUUCCUCUUUUCUCAUCUGUCCAAGCUGUAGGAUAAUGUUACGUGGUCUUACAUUUACAAGUGAAAGUAAAGUUUAUCUUCGGUAAAUAAAGAUUUAUUAUCUUAAGAGUCGAUAUUUAUCAUCUUUUGAUUCAAGUACCGUGUAUUUUGUGUUACUAAGCUAAUGCUGAAUAAUGGUGAAAUUAACAGUCGUUAGUUUCUCUUAUAUGAAUUUUCUGCAGCAGUACAUUUCAAGCGGAAUCAAAAAACAGUAAACGAGGGAGCAAGUUGCCAAAAAAGAAAAAGAAAAAGAAAAAUUAAAUGGAGAAAAAGAAGCAUAUCAUUAUCCUUGUAGGUGCUGCAGAAGAAGUGGAUCAACAGCAACUUCAUCUGGCUAGCAAAUCUUAUCCUAUGUUGCUUAUGGAAGGAAUCCUUUACAGGUAAUACAUCGAGAGACUUUGUUUCUAUUUUGGUGAAGCUUUACAAGAAAGGAUUGAUCGAGAUAUAGCAAGGUCCCCGGUUUUGAAAGCAAAUUAAGGUUUUUAAGCACUGUGGCAUUAGGUACCACACCAGAAACCUUAAACUGCCACUAAAUAAUUCCCUUCAGUCAAUAAUGCAAUUUGCAGGAGUUCAAUCAAUAAUUAAAAAUGUUGAAGGUGCAACCAAGAUCGAUUUGGUUAAUUGUAACAUCAGAACUGGAACGCAGAGUACGGGAUUGAUGCAAGCUCUUUCAGCACAACAGAACUGUCCAAUUGAGCUUCUGAAGAUAACUAUCAUAGGACACCAAGAAAAAGAGAAAAUCGAAAAAACAGGGGAGCGAUUAAAAAGUUUUGCCAAUUCGUUAAAAUCUGCCCUUUUCAUUUUAUAUAGUCUUUAUGU